GGUUAGGAUUUUUCCAUGGUGUUUUCCCUCUUCAAGGCUCCCAUGGCGAGGCCCCCUCCCCCACCUCUUCCUCUUCUCCUUCCUCGCCUCCAAACGAUCAGGGACCUCCCCAGGAAGCUAUCCUCAAGGCCAUCUCCAGUUUGCGGUGAUCUUGUCCCCAAGAUACAAUAACUCGGCUCAACCCGAUUCUUCUGUACAUGCAAGCUUGAUCCAAUCGAUUUCUUCAGUUGCCCAGAUGAAAA